rnacentral:rRNA from 1 species
ACAUGCAAGUCGAACGAAGCCUUCGGGCUUAGUGGCGCACGGGUGCGUAACACGUGGGAAUCUGCCCUACGGUUCGGAAUAACAGUUAGAAAUCGACUGCUAAUACCCGGAUGAUGACGAAAGUCCAAAGAUUUAUCGCCGAAGGAUGAGCCCGCGUAGGAUUAGGUAGUUGGUAGGGUAAUGGCCUACCAAGCCGACGAUCCUUAGCUGGUCUGAGAGGAUGAUCAGCCACACUGGGACUGAGACACGGCCCAGACUCCUACGGGAGGCAGCAGUGGGGAAUAUUGGACAAUGGGCGAAAGCCUGAUCCAGCAAUGCCGCGUGAGUGAUGAAGGCCUUAGGGUUGUAAAGCUCUUUUACCAGGGAUGAUAAUGACAGUACCUGGAGAAUAAGCUCCGGCUAACUCCGUG